GACGAACGCUGGCGGCGUGCUUAACACAUGCAAGUCGAGCGGUAAGGCCUUUCGGGGUACACGAGCGGCGAACGGGUGAGUAACACGUGGGUGAUCUGCCCUGCACUUCGGGAUAAGCCUGGGAAACUGGGUCUAAUACCGGAUAUGACCUCCUAUCGCAUGGUGGGUGGUGGAAAGAUUUAUCGGUGCAGGAUGGGCCCGCGGCCUAUCAGCUUGUUGGUGGGGUAAUGGCCUACCAAGGCGACGACGGGUAGCCGACCUGAGAGGGUGACCGGCCACACUGGGACUGAGACACGGCCCAGACUCCUACGGGAGGCAGCAGUGGGGAAUAUUGCACAAUGGGCGAAAGCCUGAGGCAGCGACGCCGCGUGAGGGAUGACGGCCUUCGGGUUGUAAACCUCUUUCAGCAGGGACGAAGCGCAAGUGACGGUACCUGCAGAAGAAGCACCGGCUAACUACGUG
rnacentral:rRNA from 1 species